GUAGUUGGAGUUCUGUUGCGGAAAACUGGUCCGUCUAUCGGGCGGUAUUUAGAUUUUGCGUUUCAUCUUCUUGAAAAGCUUUGCUGUGCUUGAUUGCAUGGUGUGGGAAUCAGGACAUUUACUUUGAGGAAUUUAGAGUGUUUCAAGCAGGUUUGUGCUGAAAUAGCCUAGCAUGGAAUAAUAACAUGGGGUCUUGGUCUUGUUUGUUGGUUUCUAGGCUGAGGAAACAAUCAAUAGGGAUAGCUGGGGGCAUUUGUACUUAACUGUCAGAGGUGAAAUUCUUGGAUUUGUUAAAGACAAACUACUGCGAAAGCAUUUGUCCCGGAUGUUUUCAUUGAUCAAGAACGAAAGUUAAAGGGAUCGAAGACGAUCAGAUACCGUCCUAGUCUUAACCAUAAACAAUGCCAUCUAGAGACUUGGAGGUAGUGCCAAGGAUUACUUCUUCAGCAUCAUUUGAGAAAUCAAAGCUUUUGGGUUCCGGGGGGAGUAUGGUCCGCAAGGCUGAAACUUAAAGGAAUUGACGGAAGGGCACCACCAGGAGUGGAGCCUGCGGCUUAAUUUGACUCAACAGCGGGAAAACUCACCAGAACCAGACAUAAACAGGAUUGACAGAUUGAUAGCUCUUUCUUGAUUUUAUGGGUGGUGGUGCAUGGCCGUUCUUAGUUGGUGGAGUGAUCUGUCUGGUUAAUUCCGUUAACGAACGAGACCUUGUCUUACUAAAUAGUUACAUGUAACUUUGGUUACAUGGGCAGCUUC
rnacentral:rRNA from 1 species